GAUGAACGCUGGCGGCGUGCCUAAUACAUGCAAGUCGAGCGAACAGACGAGGAGCUUGCUCCUCUGACGUUAGCGGCGGACGGGUGAGUAACACGUGGAUAACCUACCUAUAAGACUGGGAUAACUUCGGGAAACCGGAGCUAAUACCGGAUAAUAUAUUGAACCGCAUGGUUCAAUAGUGAAAGACGGUUUUGCUGUCACUUAUAGAUGGAUCCGCGCCGCAUUAGCUAGUUGGUAAGGUAACGGCUUACCAAGGCGACGAUGCGUAGCCGACCUGAGAGGGGGUUCGGCCACACUGGAACUGGGACACGGUCCAGACUCCUACGGGAGGAAGCAGUAGGGAAUCUUCCGCAAUGGGCGAAAGCCUGACGGAGCAACGCCGCGUGAGUGAUGAAGGUCUUCGGAUCGUAAAACUCUGUUAUUAGGGAAGAACAAAUGUGUAAGUAACUAUGCACGUCUUGACGGUACCUAAUCAGAAAGCCACGGCUAACUACGUG
rnacentral:rRNA from 1 species